rnacentral:rRNA from 1 species
GACGAACCGUGCGAACGUUGUUCGGAAUCACUGGGCUUAAAGGGCGCGUAGGCGGGCUGUCAAGUCUGGGGUGAAAUGCCGCGGCUCAACCGUGGAACUGCCUCAGAUACUGACGGCCUCGAGGAAGGUAGGGGCAUGCGGAACUGUAGGUGGAGCGGUGAAAUGCGUUGAUAUCUACAGGAACGCCGGUGGCGAAAGCGGCGUGCUGGACCUUUUCUGACGCUGAGGCGCGAAAGCUAGGGGAGCAAACGGG